GUUAGUAACACCCUGAUUACCUACCCUUAAGAUGGGAAUAAUUCGUCGAAAGACGAACUAAUACCCAAUAGUCUCUGAAGUCGCAAGGCCGAAGAGUAAAGGAGUAAUCCGCUUAAGGAGGGGUCUAGGUCCGAUCAGUUAGUUGGUGGGGUAAUGGCUCACCAAGACUAUGACCGGUAGGAGGGCUGAGAGGCUGUCCUCCAACGGCGAGACUGAGACACGGCUCGCACACCUACGGGUGGCAGCAGUCGAGAAUAUUCGGCAAUGGGCGAAAGCCUGACCGAGCGACGCCGCGUGCAGGAAGAAGGCCUUCGGGUCGUAAACUGCUUUUUCCGCCCAAAAAGUCCGCAAGGAUUGAUGGUAGGCGGAGAAUAAGGCGCUGCAAACUACGUGCCAGCAGCCGCGGUAAUACGUAGGCGCCAAGCGUUAUCCGGAUUUAUUGGGCGUAAAGAGUGUGUAGGGGGUCUGAUGCGUUUUUUGUUAAAUUCCGGCGCUUAACGCCGGGCAUGCAAAAAAUACGAUCAGACUAGAGGAUGUGAGAGGUCAGUGGAACGCACGGUGUAGGGGUGAAAUCCGUUGAUAUCGUGCGGAACACCAAAGGCGAAGGCAACUGACUGGCGCAUUACUGACCCUGAGACACGAAAGCGUGGGGAGCAAAAAGGAUUAGAUACCCU
rnacentral:rRNA from 1 species